CAAACUGGGAUUAGAUACCCACUAUGCUUAGCCCUAAACACAAAUAAUUACAGAAACAAAAUUAUUCGCCAGAGUACUACCGGCAACAGCCCGAAACUCAAAGGACUUGGCGGUGCUUUAUACCCUUCUAGAGGAGCCUGUUCUAUAAUCGAUAAACCCCGAUAAACCUCACCAAUCCUUGCUAAUACAGUCUGUAUACCGCCAUCUUCAGCAAACCCUAAAAAGGAACAAAAGUAAGCUCAAUCACAACACAUAAAGACGUUAGGUCAAGGUGUAACCCAUGGAAUGGGAAGAAAUGGGCUACAUUUUCUACCUUAAGAAAAUUAAUACGAAAGCCAUUAUGAAAUUAAUGACCAAAGGAGGAUUUAGUAGUAAACUAAGAAUAGAGUGCUUAGUUGAAUUAGGCCAUGAAGCACGCACACACCGCCCGUCACCCUC
rnacentral:rRNA from 1 species